rnacentral:lncRNA from 1 species
CGUUGGGGCCGGUACGAGGAUCGCCCCAAUGAGAAAGAAAACCCCAAGGAAGCGAAGAAGAAGCAAGAAAAAAUUGAUUCUUCCAUCCAUAAAUGGACGAUGGAAGACUAGUGAUAAAGAAAAGGCCUUUUCGAGGGUUGAAGAACCACCACCCUCGGGCCUUCGGAUGAGGUCGGAGGACAAAGAAGGCUCGAAAAAGAGAAGGAUGGGGCA